GUGAGUUUUCUAAGAGUGUCUCACAUCUAAAACUUCUUCUCCUACUUUUUAUCUUUGGAAGAGUCUAAAUCAAGAAGAAGAAGGUAUCUGAUCGACCAUCGAAGAAGGAUCAGCACAGUACUAGCAUAUUGUGCUGAUUUCCUGGACCAGGAUUUCUGAUCGUGAUUUGUGGGCUCGUGUGGUCGACUCCUAGAGGCCGGACAUAUGUGCGGCUUAC
rnacentral:lncRNA from 1 species